rnacentral:lncRNA from 1 species
AUUCACUCAGCAGCCCAAGCCCGGCCAGGCAGCGCGCGCUGCUCCUUGGGGGCGCCCUCGCAGCUGGGGUGAGGGCGGGUCCGAGGGAGCGUCCCUCUCGGAGACACCCUCCUCUUCAACCCAACACGCGCUCUCAGCUGGCCGGUGUGGCACAACCCUCCCCCCACCUCCCCUUCUUGGCCUUCGCCAGUGUGGGAGCCUCGUCUCACUGGAGAGUCCGUUCAGGUAAGCAGUGAGUCCGGGCAGGGUCGAAUGCGGUGGGAGUAGAGAUGGGGUUGUUAAUCUAAAAGAGUGGUUUGGAGGGAGGGGCAGGUAGGCUCCAAGAGGGCGGGAACUUCAGGAAAGCGCAGAAAGAACUCAGUCAAGCUUCAAAGAAGCGUAUACCCUUGCUUUGCACCCUUGAGUCUGGCUCUUGCUUCUAGAACUGUCGGGUAGGGGAGUGGCCAUGAUCUUGGGGUCACUGGGGAAAGAGGUGGCCCUUUGUGGGUUCCAGAGGUCGGGACUGAAAGCGAACGUCCCUCAGUUGGGUGGCCGGGAGUUGCACCAGUUAUAAGCCGGGCGUAUUUCGAUCGGCUAGUAGUUGUUUACUUGGUGAGGUUUGCGCCAGGCGGAAGGCGGUUGCCGCCUACCUAAAAUUGGAGUCAGCAGCACUUAGUUUCCCUUUCCAGUGAGGAAUAUCUAAUUCUUCUACGGUUAAGCCGGGAAAACAGCGGCUAGUUUAGGAGGGAAGAAAACCCUUGGGCAAACGCCCAAAGCCUGCGUAUAUUCCGGCCGGAGCAUCCUGGCGCCCAGUUUGGGGAGGAGGGGUGAAGGGGAGGGUUUGGAUACGAAGCCCGGCAGGGAGCGGGUAACUCCUGGAGCCACUCCGCCGAGCACUGCCUGUGGCCCUGGUCGAGGAUACCAUUCUGGUUGCUCAGUGAUUGACCAGGAGGCGGAAGCCAGUUAAGGGGACCAAGGAGUGGAGUAGGGAGAACCUCCAUCGGCCCACGGGCGCGAGUUAGUGUUCGAAUCUUUGGGAGCUCGAAGAGCUUCGCUAAAUCUGACUCCCUUCGUCUAGUCUCUGUUUGGCAGCCCCCGCGCCCCAGAGCAGGUGUUUGGGGCGGGUAGGGGGUGUUUUGGUUUGGUUUUUGGAUCUUCUAAAGGAGUCAGUAUCUAUUGGGAAACAACCCCUAGGCAAGGAGAAGAACCGGGGGCCGGAGCGGAGCGUGUUUCAGAGGUGCGUAUAAAAUCCCAGGGGCGCCAGGAGGCAGCAGCGACGGCGCAGCGUGGGACGGCCAGGCGCGACGGGAGGGAAGCAACCGGUUGCAGUCCGGCCUCCUGUACCUGGCUGGCCCGGGCUGGGGCUGCAAGCUUUCCAGCCAAACUUAUGUGAAGCAAAGUAGUUGCAGUUUGACAAAGAAUGGCGUUUCAAUAAAUGACAUAGUAAUUUUUUACGCUUUGGUUUUUAGCUUGCAUUGCAUAAACGUUGUCGCCAUUAAAUUCUGGCUGCGGACCCGAAGUGUGUGCGGGCCCAGGACUUACUCGAAGGGCGCACUUCUUGGGAAUGCGCAUCCCGUAGGCGCAGGAGACCCUGAGGGUAAAGAUGCGGCACUUGAGCCCUCCGCUUGCCUCCCAGGCCACCUUUGCUGCUUGACUUUGCGUCGUCUCCACUCAGAAGCUUUUAAAAUUAUUAUUAAGAAAAGAAAGAUUCUACAAGACACUGCCCCCACGCUCUCUGCUCAGUCCUCUCCCACACGAUCUAUCCCUAAACCUUUCGCGGGGCUCGCGCGUUUGGUUUUUUGAGUGGAGAAAGGACUCUCGAGACAAAAUUCACUGCCAGUUGCCCUAAGAACCCCCCAGAUCCCUGUAUCUCCCUUCCUUCUCCCCGCCUAUUAUUUCUACUUGGAAGUCGUUUUUCUUAACUAGGACUCAACUGUGAGGGGCGAGGAGCCCUUUAUGAAAAGCCGGGGACUUUCAUUUCCAAACGAAAAGAUUGAGAUUGUUUCUUCUUUUACCAUCCUUGGCACUUUUAGCGGGGGGAGAGGAGGUUAUCUGAAGGGAGGCUGGCUUGAAUGUGAGUCGUUGUGUUUGUGAAACCCAGGUAAGGCAAAGACACGUAAAUCUCUGCCAACAUUUUUCAAAAAUAAGUUUUUGCCCCGGGGUGAGGGAUGUAGGGGUGGAUAGGAGGAAAGGAGAGCCAAGCAAAUGUAGAACUCCUCUCUCCUCUGCCAUUUAUUUUCUCAGAAUCCUUGUGGGGGCGGGGAGGGGAAGAGCACCGGUGCGAACCCCGGGGUGCCCCCUCGCCCGACUUGGACUUCUCCGACUAAAGAGGUGGGAGGAGUUCCCUGCAGCCUGCGGGGCCAAGAAGAAAGUGCUAAGCUGAGGAGCCGCAGUCGGAGGACCCCAGGGACCCGACAGGAAGUCUCCGUACGACCCCAACGGAUCCACAUGCCCGGAAGCCCAGGCGACACUAAGCCAGCGCUGGGGAACUGACGUACUCCUGCAGUCGCAGGGCGCUCCAUGCCUCUCUGUCCUCUUCUUUGUUGUGGGUAACGUUCUCUGCGGGAGACCUGAGGUUUUCCAAGGGGGACAUGCCAGCUACACUGGCCUUGGCGCCCUGAGCUAAGCACCAGGACUCACAGCCUAGCACGAAGGCAGGUAGCACCUUCACCCGCCGCGGACGAUAGGCGCUCUCCUGUACCUCCUUUAGCUCGCGAGGCCCGCCCUUCGCGAGGUCCCAGAGAAAAGCAGGCUGUGGAAAACUGGGCGCCCCCUUCUUUCACCCACCUUCUUACCCCUGUCAGCGCCGAGAUCUGUAGCAGAGGUUCCUGGUCUGAACCACCGAUUGGCAAAGAAAGCUGCAGAUUAAACUUCUCGUUUUACAGAGAAGGAAACUGAGGCCCAGACAGCCGAAGGAGAGGCAGUCUAUGGAGCGCAGCGGUAAAGAGCAAGGGGUUGGUGGCCCCAGAAUGGAACCUCAGCUCUGCCAGAGCUAAUGGGAUGCAGAGGCGAGGACAGCCCCUGGAAAACCAUGUGGCGUUGAUACACUGGCAAAGCGCAGGCAUCCCGGCCUCGAAGGUGCAUAAUUAUUGCAAUAUGAAAAAAUCGAGGCUGGGUAGGAGCAGGGCAGUGAGGAUUUCUCAACCCUUACUUUCACCCCGGCGCUGUCCACUGCAUCUGACAGAGCGCGGAGCUGGGCUGCUACAGCCGCAACCCCAGGGACCAGUGCGCACGCCUGGGCCGCCCUCCGGGAGUCACCCAGCGGCCGCGGACAACUGAAUAAACACCCCAAAGCGCUGCGGUCGGUCAAGGGCGGGGACAGCCACACUGCGCGCGGGGCCCGCAGGCCGUAAUAAAGAGUGGCUCGACCUCGCUGCUGCCUGUCGCGGGAGAGGAACAAGCUUUCGACUAGCGCCUCUCCCCGGGGCCCGCGCCCCGAGCCCCACGCGCAAGACAGCCCAACAGCUGUUCCUCCCCUCCCCGCCGACUCCAACUCUUCGGAAUCUGCCCACUCGGGGCUGCAGGGCAAGUGUUUAGGAUGGUUCCCAGCCCCGCGCUGGCGGUGAAAAUUUCAACGUCAUUCCUUCAAUUAAAAAAAGGGGGGGGCAAGGGAGGGGCUUUGUGAUAACUACUCCCAGCUUCUUCUGAUCAUUUCAAAAUUAAGUCGAUUUUUUUUAACCAGUCCCCACUUACUGUCCUAACUCUCCUCGCUGACCCUAUCUGGGAGCCCGGAACCGUUAGGUACUGCCGAAUGCGGUGCAAAAUUUCCCCCUCUCCCCCAGUUCGCAGUGCCUGGAGCCGCUGGGGUUACUCGUCUGUUCUGAUGCCACCGCGAGAUGGUCCCCGAGCUCCCCGAGAGUCCUCAGUGAAAGGAUUCCGCGGCACUGCCUCUAUUAUUAUACCGUAAAUCUUUUUAAAUUCUGGAACUAAUUAUAUAGAGGAUAUGUCUCAAUUUGUUCUGCAUUAAUGCCACAGUGGGGAUGGAGGCCAGGCCGUGGCCAGAGCAGAUACGUAGGCCCAUGAAAUUGAUGAACUGAGAGUUGCUUCCAGUCCUGAGCGCACCAUCUGGAAUUCCAGUCUGAGGUUACAAUUAGAACUCCUGACCCCAGAUUCAACUUUGCAAACAACAGGGGAAAAAAAUGGGGAAAAGAAAAACCACGAGAGAGGGAAAAAAAAUUAUUCUGCACCUGUAAAAAAAAAAAAAAAAAAAAAAAAAAAAAAAAAGUCACACAAUCUUAAAAUCUUUCCGUCUUAGACAAUUCUUUCCAAGUAUUUCUUUUGUGUUUUUUAACCUAUAAAAGAUAAUGGAAUGUUUUAUAGACUGGAUUUUAUCUCAUCCCCUUUCCCUCUCCCAACUGCCCUCAGUUUAAUAGUUGUCAGUUUUACCUCAGUGUUGAAUUUAAUUAUAUAGGAACAAAAUAUUCCUCAGUAAAUUUGCUUGCUAAAUAUUCUGUCACAUUUACUUCCCCUUUGAGAAAUGGCUUAAUUAUAGAAAUCUACCUGCAUCUAGGAAUUUUUUUUCCCUUUUCUUUUUUGACCGCCAUUCCAGCUUAAUCGUAAGCAGAGAUUUUAUUUGUGCAGUAAUUUUAUUUGUGUUCUAAAUUCGUUUAGCCAAUUUCUUCCUUCUUUCUUUAGUAACACCCUGCUUUAUUUUCCUCUCACUUUGACCCCCUGAAGAAAACGAAGGACCAAGCAGUACUGGAGAAUCUGUUAAAUUUAUUAGCAUAAAUGCUUAGACAAAACGAGAUAUAAAUCAUUCAGAUGUAUUAAGCCAUAAAGUAUCCCAAUGAAGUCAGUCCCUUGCCAGGGUCCUGGUGUAUAAAUGUUCAUAUAAAACAAGGUAUCAGUAUUAUCUUUCAAACUGAAUAUAUGUUGUAAAAAUAUCCAAGGUUGAGUUAGGAAUAUGGGGGGAGGGUGCAGCAGGGCAGGAAGGGGAUAUUCUUUAGACCAGUUUGUUAACAUAGUGGUGGCUCAGAAAGUAUGGUGGAAAGGAAAAAUUUCAACCGUUUACAUUUGGAGUCUUCUUAGAUAAUAUGUUUUUAAAUAACGGUAUGCAGGAUAUAUUUGAGAGCAAAGGAAUAAGAGAAAAAAAAGAUGACUAGAGGGAGAAAGGCAUUGAUUUCUGUAGAAUGCAUUUGUCCCCCAAAGAUCAGUUUAGCUUCACAAAAAUCCACCCAGAGGAGGCACUGGCUCUUCACACAGAUAACGGAUUAUCCAGUAGAGAAGAGCUACCUGGGCCUUCGUCUGGCAACUGGGAUAUGCAGCCGCUGGUCAGCAGAGGGAUGUGUAUUCAUUAGCGGUGGAAGACGAGGAAAGCGCCCGGGAGUGAGGAAGAGGAAUGGACAGAAUUCCUGGCAGAAGCUUACCAAGACAAAAAUCAGACACAAUGUUUAAGCAGCAAUUGCUCGUGAAGUUCAUAACCAUGGCUCUCUGUAAAUCUUGGCAAAUUGGGACAUUCUUUGCUUUUUGGAAAUGAUUGUUUUCAAGACUUUUUUUAAAAAAUCAAGUUGUCCACCAGAAAAAUGGAAUAGCUCACCUUCCCCAUCUUUUUUUUAAAGCAGGGAUAUCCUCAUCCUUUCCGUGCCAUUCAUUCUUUCAUUCAUUCACUCACCGUGCAACAAAGAUUGUUGGGCAUUGUAGCAGCAAGUAGGAGCACAGGGUAAUGACAGGCUCACCCCGCUCUCACAGUUUAUAUUCCAGUAGGUAUGACAGAUACAUUACAAGGAAACAAUGAGAUAUUUUCAUAUAGUAGUAAUUGCUAUAAAAGAACAAGGAGAUCUGUAAGACUAGAGAAUGACUAAAGGUGAGAUGGGAAUGAGGAGCAACAGAUAGCCCUCACUUCCUUUUGCUUUCUGCCCACACUACCACAUUUUAGUGUGUUUAGGAAGUAUUCCACCUUACAGUCCAGAUGCAGGAAGGGUUUGAAGGAUUUGGAAUGGUUGGUCUGGAUAAAUCUCUGCCUACAAAACUGGACUUUAUGAAAGCGGCAGGGCAGCUGUUUAUAUAGCUGGCUUAAAAUCAUCACCACUAGCUGAGUGACUCUGAAAGCUAUUUAACCCCUGAGAAAUUCAGUUUUCUUCUCUUCAAGAUAAAAAAUAACAGCAAGUUAUGAGGACUACAUAAGGUAAGGCAUGUAAAUUUCUUAGCCUUUAGGAAGCACUCAAUACAUGUUGGCUAUUAUCUAUAUAGACAUAAAUUCUAUGCUUUGCUUCCAAUUAAUUGAUAAGUUAUAGGCUUAGUAUUGAUAUUGGUGUGAAUUCAGAAAAGGUGGAAGUCUUUGUUCUUGUUGGAUCAGGGUGAAGAGCAGGAAGAGAAACCUUUGCUGAAUCUGACCUUAAACAAGGUUGUUGCCAUCUAGAAGGAAAUUUAAAUGAUUUUGCCCUACACCAGGACCCUAAAACAGGAAAUAUGUGGCUUUUGCCUCAAAAUCAAGCUUAGGUUCCUUCUUUUAGUACAGAAGUCUAUAGGUUAACAACCUGAAAAUCUUAGAAUUGCAUUGAAAAUCUUAGAAUUGCAUUGUUCCUUAGAGCCACAUUUCAGGUUUGCAGCCUUGUCCAGGAUAAAGAAUUCUGGGGUAGGUAUAAAAACACCUGAACUCAAAUCCUAUCUCUAUCAGUUACUGUGAUCUUAGGGAAAUAGCUUCAGCUCUCAGUUUUUCAGUAGCUUUAUGUGUAAAAUGGAGAUUAUAUAAAAUGAAAUAAAGCAUCCAUAGGUGAUUUGAAAACUCUGAAGUGUCAGACAGUGCAGAAGACCAUCAUAACAUUGUUACAUGUGAACAUGUGGAAAGGAAUAUGUCUAUUCAGAACACUGGGGCACAUUGCUUGCUCUCAUGGUUCUUCAUUUUUAAGUGAGUAUAGUACCUUUCAUGCAGGGCUAUUGUGAUAAGUAAGUGAGAUCAUAUAUAUAAACUUUCAAAACAAUGCAUAGCAUAGAAUGUGUGCUAUGUAAGCAUCACUGCUACGGUUAUUGUUACUGUUCUCUGGCCAUCUUGUUGGGCCAAGUGUUGAACCUUAUAAUUUUCACAUAGAGAGCUUCUUACUGUAGAAGUUUAUAAUAGUAUAGAGAGCAAGGCUUUGGGAUCAGAUGACUGGGGUUUAAAGCCUCCUCGCUAGUUAUUUUCUGUAUGGCUUUGGGUGGCUUCCUUAUUUUCUCUGAGCUUUAAUUUUCAUAACCUUAAAACAGGGCUAAUGAUACCAUCACCUCACAGGGUUGUUUUGAGAACAAAUUAAAACACCAUAUGUAAAUUGCUUUCGUGGCACCUGGCAUGUAGUAAGAAAUCAAUAACUGGUAGUUAUUAAACCUACAAUUCUUCUAAUCAGACAAUAUUAGCUAUGACUUAAAACAGGUGAGCCUGCAAGAGCUUGAAUUACAGCAUGAUUCUGAACAAACACAGAAAGUAAUUUCUAUCUUCUUUUAAACUCACCUGUACUACACUGAAAUCUCACUCUUUCACAUAUGAAAGACUUUGCAACCAAGGCACUGACAAGGAUUUCCUUUUUGACUAUGAACGCUUUAGGUUAAAAUUCUGAAUCUCAUUUAUUUUUAAUGGGUUUCUUUGCAAAAUACCCAGCGUAUGUCAAGGACAUUGGUAAUCCCAUGUUCUUCAAAAUAAGCAGGAAAUUGAUUUCAGCCAAUGGGGAGAAAAAGUAGUUUGAUCCUCUUCCUGGAGUUACCACAUAGCAUUUAUUAAUAGCUCUGUAAACGGUCUGGAACACAGUAUCAGCUUGCUGUUCAAAAUAUGACAAAAGUUUAUGCAAAGUUGCUUAGGAAAAACAAGAUCUAGUCAUUAGAAAUCUGACACUGGUCAAUAGUACAUUUAUUCCAAGUCUCCAUAAAUCACAAACAAAUGAAACUUCUAUUGUGAUCACUGUUCCAGAUCUAAAAGACCCUCCCCCUUACUUUGGUAGAAAUUAAAUACAUUUUAGAAAGCCCAAUAUUUUUUCCUCUACAAAUAGAGGCUAAUUACAAAAUUUCCCAAGAAAUAAUAAAUAUUAAACUAUAAUCAACAGAUGUGACACAAGAUGAAUAAGAAGCACAUAACUUAGCUUUCAUUCCUUAUGUAGGGCGCAUGUUUAUCUUUAAUUAUCCCCAACCUGGGAAUGGCAUAAAUGUUAUCUGUUUUAUUUAUUAUUUGUAUCUAGAGUGACAUCACAUUUUGAUUUUGCCCAGGACAGUCUCAGCUUAAGCUGUUGUCCCAGCUUAAUUAUUAAUUACUCUCCUUUUACUCCAAAGUAUUCUACUUUUGAUGGUAAAUAAGGACUUCACUUGCUUAAAAUUUUAUUUUAUUAAAAAAAUGAUAGAUUUAAGAAAGCCAUUGGAACAAGGGUAAAAGAUAGGCUAAAUGGGGCUAAUGAGAAGAAAAAAAUUGAAUUAAUAUUAGAAUCAAAGGAUGCAGAUAGUUACUAUAAUUGAGCAUAAUGCAAUUCUGAACUUCCUGACAGCCAAGUAAGAAAGGGGAAAAUAGCACUAGUUACCUAUCUUUCGUGAUGCAAUAAAGGGAAGAAACCUAGUUUUUCAGAAGAGAUGAAUUUUUUCUAGUACUAAACUCAAAGAGGAACUUACCAUACUAGCCUUUCUAUAAGAGUUAUCAGGUAACGGUUAGCGACUUCAAAAAUAAUGUUUCAAAAGAUGCAACGACAUUUUCUGGUAGUUUAUUUCAACCCAAUGUCCACAGCAUUAAAAUUAUGGUUCUGUAAACUGUAAGAGGAGAGAGGCAAUAAUAUAGUCCCUUUUUGUAGUUUUCUGGAGGAUCUGACCUGAUCAAAUCAACCUGAUUUGUUAAUUUUUAGAAUGUGCCUAAUGGGUUUUUUUUUAUUUUUAUUUUUUAUUUUUUUUGAGGCAGAAUCUUGCUCUGUCACCCAGGUUGGAGUGCAGUGACCCCAUCUCGGCUCACUACAACCUCCGCUACCCGAGUUCAAGCGAUUCUCUUGCCUCAGCCUCCCAAGUAGCGGGGAUUACAGGCACCCACCACCCCGCCUGGCUAGUUUUUGUAUUUUUAAUAGAGACAGGGUUUCACCAUGUUGGUCAGGCUGGUCUUAAACUCCUGACUUCAGGUGAUCCACCCGCCUUGGCCUCCCAAAGUCUGGGAUUACAGCCGUGAGCCACCACGCCCGACCCCGUAAUUUUUUAAAAGCAUCUUUUAUUCGUUAAUCAUCAGUUAACUUGAACCCGAAUCCAAACGCUGCGAAAGACCUGACCAUUGUUCUCCAGAAUCUGCGAACGAUUUGGUGAGAGCUCUAGGGCAGUGGUUGUUCUCAACUGAGAUGAUUUGCAACCCAGCAGACGUCUGGCAAUGUCUAGAGAUAUUUUUUGUCACGACUUACAGUAAGACAGGAUCACUAGAUGCACAGUCCUGGUAUCUAGUGAGUAGAGGCCAGGGAUGCUGUUAAACAUUCUAUAAUGCACAGGACAGACCCCCCAGAACAAAGAAUUAUCCAGCCUAAAAUGUCAAUAGUGCCGAGACUGAGAAACUGUGCCCCAGGGUACUGUUAGAAGAAGGGAUGGAGGGCCAGGCGCGGUGGCUCACGCCUGUAAUCGCAGCACUGUGGGAGGUCAGGCGGGCGGAUCACGAGGUCAGGAGAUCAAGACCAUCCUGAUUAACACGGUGAAACCCCGUCUCUACUAAAAAAUACAAAAAAUUAGCCGGGAGUGGUGGCGGGCGCCUGUAGUCCUAGCUGCUUGGGAGGCUGAGGCAGGAGAAUGGCGUGAACCCAGCAGGCGGAGCUUGCAGUGAGCUGAGAUCGCGCCACUGCACUCCAGCCUGGGCAACAGAGUGAGGAUCUGUCUCUAAAUAAAUAUAUAAAUAAAAGAAGGGAUGGAGACAUAGUUUUUAGCUGGAGUCAAAAGAAAAAAUCCUCAUGGGGAAGGGGAGCUUGGGCUAGAUUCCUUCAUCCCACCCAGUGGAGCUGGAGGAUGUCUCUCCCCAAGCUCAGCAAAUGUCAGGAAAAAAAUACAAGAAGAGGCAAUCAUGUGGAAAUGCAGUCCACAAAGGGAAUUGUGGAUAAACUCAUUUAACCAGAAAGGAGGAAGAAUCCAUGUAGAGCAAUAAGAAAGAAAGCCAGAUAGCACAGCACAUGCAAAUUUAGGGCAAAGAGUUUCUGUUUUGAUGUUAUGCUCCAAUAUCACUAAAUAUUGCUGGUAUUUUUUAAAGCCACACAAAUCAAGGGCAGCAUAAACUUUUAUGUUCCCAGAGUUCAUCUUUGGAAUACUGGCUUAUAGUGUAUAUGUGGAUAUGCACAUAUUUUGCUUCCUCUCCUCCACAUCGUUUUUUACCACUUACAUAAUAGGGAUUCCUUGGAACUCAGUUUUAUAUCACAUUAAAUUUAAAAAUGGGUGCCUACUCAAAAAGACAACCUAUCAAGGCACAGAAAAUUCUGAACCACUGCUGUAAUGAAUACAUCAUUGGAAUCUCCAUUAAGAAAUAUUAUUCUGACCUAGUUCUCUGUGUCAUGCUGCAGAUUGUCCUUCUCUUGACUCAUGGAAUGCUUUGUGAGAAAGAACUACAAAGCCGGGUCCCUCGAUAUUAGCCAUCUCACCCUUCAAAGUUCAGCCAGGAGUGGGACAAAACCCUCGUCACCAUGUUGACAUGUUUACUUCUGGCGCAGGAAAAUACUGCUGUUGCCCAAUUUGGUUUCCCAGUCCAUUCACUUGCCUGGAGACAUAUAUUUUAUGCUUUCCUUUGAUGAUUUACAAAUAAAUUAACGUGAUUCACUAAGGUCUGCCAGCAUAUAUGCGUUACUGGAGAAAUCUGAGAUGUUGAAAAAGUAUUUUAAUUUAUUGUAUCCCAAUACUUUCUUAAGAAAGUUUCUUAAGAACCAAAUAAAUAUCAUCAGCUAGUUUAUAUACCUGACAUAUUUAUUACGGUAUUCCCGCUGAGCACUUCCCAUUGUCAUGUGUUCUCACACAUUGUUUUCACAAAUUGUGUUUUGAAAGAAGUCAAGGGAAAUUCAGGCCAGAGAAGCAAGAUGUUAUCUUUUGGAAAGGAUGAGCCCACUCUAAUGGAAGAGGAUAAUCCAUUCAGAGGUUUGUGAGGCCAAUAUCCCCCAGUGGGUGUGAUAAAUCCACAGCGUCUGAAUCCAGAAUUUUGCACUGGGACCUUGAAGUUGCAUGAACAAUUUAGUCAUGUUCCAAAUAAACACAGUGUAUCAUUAUUAUUAUUGGAUAAACAUGAACAUCUGUUAGGUCAAGUUUGCCCUAUUUCCUUAAAGGCAACUGGAGUCCCUGAACACAGUUCUCAUAUGUCUAUCACAAAUGGAUCUGAGAUGGGUGUAUAAUGCCAAAGCGGCUCCUUGACCAUCUCUGUGUUUGGAAACCAGAUUUUAAAAAGAAAAAAAAAAGUCACCUGCUCAUCUGAGGUGGGUCACAUGCCUAGAGAGCACCAUAGAGACUGCAGUUCCCUUCUGAAUCCCAUCAACAGAGCUACUGUCAAAAGAUGAAAAUAUUUGAAUCAGCUGGCCUUCUUCAUUUUUAAAGCAAUGUUGUACAUAUUUUAAGCAAUUAUUUGGGGCGAGAGGACUCUAAUUGACACCAUUCUCUUGUCCUAACUCAGCCUGGCACCUUUCCAGCUGUCACUCAGUGGGCACAGGAUAUGGAGGAUGAUUUCUCACCAGGCUGAAUCAGCAGGUUGCAGCAGGUUACAACUGCAAGGGACUUUACAAAGCUUCUAAUCCUACCCCUCAUUUUUCAGAUAAGACAUUAUUGAUACGAUCUGCCCAAGAUCAUGCACUUAGUUAGUGGCAGAGCUUUACCCAAGGCCAGGAAAUAAAAUCUGUCUUUCUGGAACAGCAUUCAUUGGUUUGCACUUACCGAGUACCUUUUACAG